rnacentral:rRNA from 1 species
UACGGAGGGGGCUAGCGUUGUUCGGAAUUACUGGGCGUAAAGCGUGCGCAGGCGGUUAUUUAAGUCAGGUGUGAAAGCCCUGGGCUUAACCUAGGAAUUGCGCUUGAGACUGGAUAGCUUGGAGUGCGGCAGAGGGAGGUGGAAUUCCACGUGUAGCAGUGAAAUGCGUAGAGAUGUGGAGGAACACCGAUGGCGAAGGCAGCCUCCUGGGCCAGCACUGACGCUCGAUGCACGAAAGCGUGGGGAGCAAACAGG